GGAAAGUCUUUCUUGAUGAGAAAGCUCCAAUCAGUUCAUGUAAGUCCAAUAUUUUAUAAUCUUAUUUACUACAAUGUAAAGAGUAUGAAAAGUAUCUUUCUAUUUGUUAAUUAAAUGCUCAACAUUCUUAACUGUUUUAAUUUCACUACUUAUUACACCUCUUUUACCGCAAAUGUAUCAGGAAAUAACAACAUCCUUAACUGUUUUAAUUUCACUACUUAUUACACCUCUUUUACCGCAAAUGUAUCAGGAAAUAUUACAGGAAGCUGU
rnacentral:lncRNA from 1 species